CCAAAGUGCUGGGAUUACAGGUGUGAGUCACUGUGCCCGGGAAUCUUGUUCCCAAGAGGAAGAAAGGCAAGGAUGAGUUCCCAACCGUUAUAGUAGGGAUGUGGGGAUUAACCUUCAUGCUGGGAUAGAAUCAGAGGCAUGAGGCCUGCUUGAGGUAAAGAGGUAACCCCAAGACCCCCACUGAGUGAACCAGAACCUUAAGGCUGUAAUGCCCAUGAAAGAGGAUCUUGUAAACUUUGCCCAGGGACACAGCAAGGGUUUGACUCCAGUGGUUCUGGGGGCGGGUGUGGGGUGUGGGGUGGGGGUGGUGGGGCGGGGGGAAGAACUCUGAAAGAAAUCAAAGCCCAGACUGUGUCCCACAUAGAGUUCAAGUCAUUUAACAGCAUCAUGGGGGAAACCCAGAGAUGUGAAAUUAGUAUAAAAAUUGGCCGCUGGCAAGUGCUAUCUCUCAGACACCUGAGAACAACAUACGCAACCUCAUUCUGGACUUAGGGACAUUUUAGUUUCCCGGCUACGUAGAUGUCUAUAGAAAAACUGAGCUUUGAUUGGAUGCGCUUACAGUGAGAAAUAGUCAAAACGUAGAAGGAAACCUUCCACCACCAGCAAAUCAGCAACACAUAAAGAGGAGCAUUAGUUCUUCAAGAACUUAAGAUUAUAACAAAAUACAUUAAAAUAAAAUAUAUGAUAUUAUAGAAUAUAUAUGUAAAAAUAUAUAAUAGCAAAAUAUAAAAGAAAGUAAGUUUGGGAUCUUCUAAGUGUUCCCUAUCCUCUGAAAAAAAAACAAAAAACAAAAAGAAGUAGUAAUUCAAAGUAGCAGAGGGAGGCUGCAACCAAACAUUGCACACACAGCUCAGGUGGAGGAUGUGGUGUAUAUGCGCAGCAAGUAUGUUUCCUAAUACUGAAGCCCAGAAUUAGGCAGACAUUAACCACUUGAUUGCAGGUAAUUCUGGGGCAUGUGACAGGGAGAGCUUGUCCCAAAAGGGCUGCAGAGAACACCUCACCCUGUGGCAAACUUAUUCACAAAAGGAAAAAGCGCAGAGAUGAGCCAAGCCAAGCCUCCAGGCAUUCGUCUGAAACUUGCAAUCAAAUACAUUUCUCUAUAUUCCCAGGAGAGAAGGGCCAGGCAUAUGCUGGGGGAUAUAACGCCUCCACUUCCCUGCCAUCAUGCAAGUAAGAAUGGGGAAAAAAGGCAUUUCCCUCUUCACCUAAAUAACAAAUGAUUAAAGGGGAUAAAAAAAAAGGCAUAGAAACUAUAAGGGGCCAGGUGUGGUGGCUCACGCCUGUAAUCCCAGCACUUUGGGAGGCCAAGGUGGGCAGAUCACCUGAGGUCCCGAGUUCAAGACCAGCCUGGCUAACAUGGUGAAACCCCGUCUACUAAAAAUACAAAAAUUAGCUGGGCAUGGUGGCGUGCAUCUGUCAUCCCAGCUACUAGGGACACUAAGGCAGGAGAAUUGCUUGAACGUGGGAGGUGGAGGUGACAGCUGAGAUCAUGCCAUGGCACUCCAGCCUGGGCAACAGAGCAAGACUGUCUCAAAAAAAAAAGAAGAAGAAGAAAAGAAAAAAAAGGAAAGAGUACAAGCAAAUAAAACUUCAGGAAAUAGAAAAACUCACUAAAAUUACAAUCUCAGAAAUAAAGUUUAAAAUAGUAGGUGAGAUAAACUAAAAGAAUUCUGAAAUGAAUAGAAUUUCCCAGGAUUCAACAAAUAAAUUAAAUGAUGAAAAAUAUAAACAAGAUGCUGAGACAUGGAGAAAAAAUGAGUCCACUCCAUCAAAGGUUCUGGCAGACAACAUGGACUGAGCACAAAGUCGGGUUCCCAUCCUCACCGCCUUUGCCUGCCUGUGCCAUAGAGACUGGAGACUAAAAGCCUCAUGCUCCCAGUGUUGCAUUUAGCUGGGGGCGGCCAGAUUCCUUGCCUCUGAGACACGAGUGGAAGUGCAAUAGUGCUGCCUUCUCCUUCCACCACAGGGUCCGAUGUGGUCGAUGGCUGUACUUGCUUCCAUGUUAUGGUGAUGAGAGAAAGACCAAGUGCGGCAUGUAGGCUUUGGUGCUGACAUAUGCUUCCCGCAGGACUUCUUGCUAUGUGGAAAAUCAAUCCCAAUUUAUUUAAGCCACUGUAGUUGGCUUUUCCAUUACAUGUAGCUGAAAAUAUUUCUAACUGAUAUUAAAGUUUAUUUGUUCCUAAAAGAGACAAUUAGAUAGCAUGGUGGAGAGGGAACAAAAUCAUUUUGCAAACAUACAGACAAAAAAAUAGAAUAGAAUACGGACACCAGUGUACCAUUCACCGAGGUUUAAACAGUCAUUAUUUUGCCUUACUUGCUUUCUCUAGGUUUUUCUUUUGCUGAAAUUAUUUUAAAAUAAAUUACAGACAUCAUGAUAUUUAACAUAUAUCCCUCAGUACUUGGCUCUAAAAAGAACAUUUUUCUAGACAACCAUGAUUCCAUGAGUACAUCUAAUGAAAUUAAUAAUUCUGAGCAUCAUCUAGUGCCCAAUCUAUAUUCAGAUGUCAGGGGAUUUGUCUACCAGAAUCCGGUGAAACACCAGAUAUUGCAUUUGGGUUUAACGUUCCUUAAUUCUGUUGCAAUCUAUGGUAUUACCUUACCCUUUUAUGACUGAGUUUUUUGAAGACACCAGGACAGUUGUCUUACAGAAUAUUCUAUAUUCUUGAUUUCUCUGAUUAUUUUCCAGUGGUCAGUUUGAUUUCCUGUAAACUGAAAAGGAUAUCUAAAGGCUGGAUUCAAUUCUGGUUAAACAUUUUGGGCAAGAAUACUUUGUGGUUGAUACUGUGUUCCUCAUUUUCGUUACACGAGGGGGCACAUAAUAUCUGGUUUUUCCACUGUUAGUGAUGUUAAGUAUUGUUCCUUGAAUAAGGUGGUAACAGCCAGAACUCUCCAUUGUGAAGUUAGUUUUUGCCCUCAUGACUAGUAAGUAAACUGUGAAGUCAUGCUUUGGCGCCACUGUGAAUGUUCAGUUACCCAUUGCCCUUUUGCCUAAGAUUUUAGCAUGCGUUGAUGAUUAUAACCCUAAUGAAAUAUUCCAUUCAAGUGACAAAAUGGUGAUUUCCCCAAUUCUAUCAUUUCCUUUACACUUAUCAGUUAUCAUUCUUCCAUAAAGAAGAGGUUUCCCUUAGGAACUGGGGCCAUUUGGCUCCCCUUCUGGAAGGGCAAUAUGUAUCCUUGAUUCUUUCUCUCCAGUUAAUGAUUUCAGAAUGAGGGAUUCAUGUUAUGGUCACCUCCAAUAACAUCAAAUGAACCUUUUAGGAGGAAGAUUCUAUCUUGUGAGUACUAUAUUGGACUCAUGAAUUAUUAUAUUUUCAAAUAUGCCCACAUCAAUUACCUUACUUUUUUAAACUUAUUAUUUUGAGAUAAUUAUAGAUUCGUGUGAAGUUGUAAGAAAUAAUACAGAGAGAACCCAUGUACCUUUUACGCAGUUUUCCCUAGUGGGAGCAUUUUGAAAAACUGUAGUACAAUAUCACAAGGAUAUUGAUGUUGAUGAUGUCAAGAUGCCGAGUAUUUCCGUUACUGUAGGAUCUCUCAUGUUGCCCUUUUAUUUAUCAUUCUUUUUGAUGCUUUGACUGUCCAAACUUUGGCCAGUAGAAACGCGUUCAAGAUUCCUGUGUCUUUUUCACAUAAUCCCAUGCUGUUUGAUUUCAUGCUUUCUGGCAGUACAAGGUGUCUCAGAGUUGCCCGUGCUUUCUGCCUGAGACCUGGAAUCCACUAUUUCUUCAAGGAGCCUUUCCUAGUUCGUGGCAUUUCCAAAGAAAAGUCCAAGGGCUAGGGGUACUCAGUGCCACUCAGUUGUCAUUGAUCCUGGGCUCUUGCAAUGCACAAAAUGGAAAUGUUUAUAUAUUUCAAAUUAAUUAAAAUAUCUUCAACUGAUGGGGAAGAUCAAAAUUAACAUUAUAUAACAUUCCCAGAUUUUUACUUAACAUUAAUUUCAAACUUUUGUCUCUUGCUCUGCAAAUCUUUUUUCCUAACAUACUUAUUUGCUUUAUGCUAUGCUAUACAUAAAAAAGUUUCAAAAUAUGAUUAUUACGGCUUACAAUAAAGUCACUGAAUCAAUAUGAAUAUUUCUUUGCAGUUCUUCUGUCCUUUUAGCCCAGAUAUAAGGUUAAAGUACUGUUUUAAAGUCAUAUGAUUUGUAUUAUUUUAUGAGGCUAUGUUACUAAUUUGAUAUAUAGUGAGCUUCAUUUGUUCUAGUUUAUUUUCAAUUUUAGAGUUUUCUUUUUUGACUUAAUUUUAUUCUUUAAAAUAUAAGGAUAUAAAAUUUGUGGCUCAAAAGCAAAAACUAUAUAAAAAUUGCCAUCACAAAUGUAUUGUUUCUAUAUGUCCCUCUCUUUUUACCUCUUUAGUCUCCCCUCCACUCCCCUUCCCUCCCUUCUUUCCUUCCUCUCUUUCUUCCUUUCUCCCUCUUUCCUUUUUUCUUUUCUUUCUCACAUAAAGCACAUACAUACAAAUAGUUUUUUUUUCCCAUUCCUUUUCUUCAUAAGAGGUAGCAAUUUGUCUUCUUUUGUUUUCAUUUAAAAAUAUAAGCCUGAGGUUACUCCUCCUGAUAGUGGUCCUCAUAAAGCCUAUGAAAGGGGCAUAGUACUGUGUGGGUCGGCCACAGGGUAGGCCACUAUCCCCGUCCUGAUGGAUGUUUGCAUUGUUUUCAAUCUUUUGCUUUUCCAAAUAAAGCCAGUAGGAUAGCUUGUGCAUAGUUUGUGGUUUUGUUUUGUUGUUGUUUGUCCUUGUGGAAGUGCAUCUACACUAGUAAGAAUUUGUUGUCAAAGGGUGUCUUGGUAGCCAGGUAUUAUCCAAUGUCUCUGAUUGGGAAUUUUAACAGUUUGCAUUCUCAACAGUAAUGUCUGAGUGUGACUGUUUUUCCAUAGCUUCAUCAGUAGAGUGUAUUGUCUCACUAUGACAUUAUUUAAUUAGUUAAUUAUUUGCAUUUUCCCUUUUAAGAAUGAGCUUGAGAAACUUUUUCUGUGUUUAAGGGAUAUUUGCAUUUUUAUUUUUUUCUGUGAACUUUUCAUUUAUUCUUAGGGCUGCCUUUUUGAUUAUGUUGCUCAUUUAUUUUUCUUUUCUUUUUUUUUUUUUUUUUUCUGAGAUGAGAUGGAGUUUUGCUCUUGUCGCCCAGGGUGGAUUGCAAUGGCGUGAUCUUGGCACACUGCAACCUCUGCCUCCCAGGUUCAAGUGAUUCUCCUGCCUGAGCCUCCCGAGUAGCUGGGAUUACAGGUGCUGACCACCACUCCCAGCUAAUUUUUGUAUUUUAAGUAGAGACAGCGUUUCACCAUGAUGGCCAGUCUAGUCUUGAACUGCUGACCUCAGGUGAUCUGCCUGCCUCAGCCUCCCAAAGUGCUGGGAUUACAGGCGUGAGCCACCGCGUCCUGCCUAUGUUGUUCAUUUCUUUUAUAUAUUCUCAUUUUCUGGUUCAUUUAAUCUAUCUUACUGAGAAAGUAUAGUAACACCUCCUUGAAUAUUCAAUAGUUUCUGUUUUGUGCAAAUUGCUCUUUAUUUAUUUGGUAUAUAAAAAAUGUGUUAACUUCUAAUUGUGAAUUACAGCUUUUAUCAUUAGAAAGUAUCUAUCUUUGUCAUCCUUAAUACUCUUUUUAUUUUGUCUGAUAUCAAGAUCAGGACCUCCCGGUGAAUAUUAUAUUAAUUUGCCUAGUAUACCUUUUUCCAUUCUUUUUAUAUGUUUUUUACUUUUUAGCCCUUGAAUUAUUAUAUAUAUUUUUUAUUUUUUCAUAAGUUAUUGGGGUAGAGGUGGUAUUUGGUUACAUGAGUAAGUUCUUUAGUGGUGAUUUGUGAGAUUUUGGUGCACCCAUCACCCAUGUAUACACUGCACCAUAUUUGUAGUCUUUUAUCCCUCACCGUCUCCCACUCUUCCCAAGUCCCCAAAGUCCAUUGUAUCAUUCUUAAUGCCUUUGCGUCCUCAUAGCUCAGCUCCCACAUAUCAGUGAGAAUAUACGAUGUUUGGUUUUCCAUUCCUGAGUUACAUUACUUAGAAUAAUAGUCUCUAGGCUGGGCGCAGUGGCCACACUUGUAAUCCCAGCACUUUGGGAGGCUGAGGUGGGCGGAUCACCUGAGGUCGGGAGUUCAAGACCAGGCUGACCAACAUGGAGAAACCCCAUCUCUACCAAAAAUACAAAAUAAGCUGGACAUGGUGGUGCAUGCCUGUAAUCCCAGCUACUUAGGAGGCUGAGGCAGGAGAAUGGCUAGAACCCAGGAGGCAGAGGUUGUGGUGAGCUGAGAUUGCACCAUGGCUCUCUAGCCUGGGCAACAAGAGUGAAACUCUGUGUCAAAAAAAAAAAAAAAAAAAAAGAAUAGUCUCUAAUCUCAUCCAAGUUGCUACAAAUGUUAAUUUAUUCCUUUUUUAUGGCUGCAUAGUAUUGCAUUGUGUAU
rnacentral:lncRNA from 1 species